rnacentral:rRNA from 1 species
GACUCCAUGAAGCUGGAUUCGCUAGUAAUCNCGCAUCAGCCACGGCGCGGUGAAUACGUUCCCGGGCCCUUGUACACACCGCCCGUCAAGCCAUGGGAGUCGGGAGUGCCUGAAGUGCGUGAGCACGAGCAGCGCCCUAGGGCAAAACCGAUGACUGGGGCUAAGUCGUAACAAGGUACC